UAGGGAAUCGUCCACAAUGGGCGAAAGCCUGAUGGAGCAACGCCGCGUGUGUGAUGAAGGGUUUCGGCUCGUAAAACACUGUUGUAAGAGAAGAAUGACAUUGAGAGUAACUGUUCAAUGUGUGACGGUAUCUUACCAGAAAGGAACGGCUAAAUACGUGCCAG
rnacentral:rRNA from 1 species